rnacentral:lncRNA from 1 species
AGGUCACUCGAUUAAAUCCUGAAACACCCAUCUUGUCCCUGCAACACCGCGAAUCCUGGCUCAAAUCUUUCCCCUUUCAUCUUUACAAUUGAAACCCCUCAAUCAGAACCCUAGACCUAAAGUAUGACCUAGGAGUUUCAUCUGUGUUUGGUCCGAUCAUUCAAAUCAGAGCAUGCGUGACUGAUUCUUCAAUCUCAUUAUCAUUAUUCUUUGUCCAGAGGCCAAACACAUUGAUCUAUGGAUAUAAGAUUUUAACCGAUGGUCCGAUGACUUCAACGGUCUUCCUCAUCUAUCCCCAUGCCAGGUAAAAGACUUCAUCAUUUUUCCCUUUGUUCUUCUCUGAUUUUACUAUUGCUAUCGUCCACCCAUCACCAUCUACUAACUAUUUGAAUUCGUCCAAACCCUAAGUGGAACGAAUGUCUCUAUAAUUAGGGCAUUCAACGUUCACACCAACACACACCG